rnacentral:lncRNA from 1 species
AUGUCAAUAUCCUUCUUAAUAUUAUGAACUGUAAAUUUUUUCUUUUAAUAAUAAUUUCAAGAAUCUCUUUCUUUUCGACAUUCUGACAAUUGUAAAAAAAAUACUUUGAAACAUUGUCAAUUUGAGUCGACUGAUGAUGAUGGUAUUUUGGUAGAUCAACAUCCUGAUACAUUCUUUCUGAUUCGAAGCUGAAAUAAAAAGAUAUACUUAAGUUAUUAAAUACUUACGAUGAUAACCUAACCCUAAACUAGUUGUUUUUAAACUUAACCGAAAUUAGUCUGAUUUUAUUCAUUCUAAAUUUUCUUUCAAAGUAAACUUAAUAGUAUUAAACCCUCAUUACAGCCGUAAUUCGUUAUCUUCAACAAUUUAAAACGAAAAAUAAUGUCAUGAAAUUACUCACCUUUUAUUUCGAAUUAGUGUUAAAGAUUCGCCAUGUUCUUUUUCUUUUUUCCCUCUCAGUAAAUAUAAAUUUUGUAGGUACUGCAUUAGGUUUUAGUUGGCCUCUCAGUAAAUUUUGGUAUUUUGGUAAAAUUUUGUUCAGACCAUUCUUCUCGAAAUGGUCUGAACAAACACCCAGCCUUCUUGAUAACCUGAAAAUUCUUUCGUUUGAUUUGAAUAACUAUUCUCGCGUUAAUUCUGAAUCUGAAUGAGGAAAAUAAUAAAAAGAUGUUCCAUUUUAAUACACGAAUGUUUUUUCACACGUUUCGAGCAAUCAAAAAGCGCCGUUUUGUUUCUCAAAGUUUUGAUCGCUUUCCUUCUGUCACGCGCAUAUAUCUGAUUAGCAGUGCGUGGAAGAGUGAUAGUUUUUCUCUCUGAAAAUUGGAGAAAUCUUGAUCCCACUUCUCAUACAUUUGGGAGAUGACGCUCAUCAUUCUUCAGUCAUCAAUCGAUUUCAUAGUGGGAGAAACCAGCCUGCAAUGGGCCAAUGCCGCUUUUUAUUCUUCCAUCAGAUUCCACAACAUAUAGCUUUAAAAUAAUCUGACCUAACUUGUAAAUCUUUGUUAAUAAAAAUUAUAGUAAAAAUUUUCUGUAUUAAGUAUUGUAUUUCAUUCAAAUUCGGAACUAACAAACUUUAGUUAUAAGUAGUGAAAUUUAAAGUUUUUACCAGACACCCAUCUUUUUUUUAUUUAUUUCUUCAAUACAGAGAUCGAAUGAAGAGAAGGAAAAUGUCUAUCUAAUAUGAUUUAGUCGUUUUGAAUAGAUGUUUUUUAAAAUCUGCCCGCUUUUCUUCCAUAUCGGCAUUUUGGUGAUGG